rnacentral:tRNA from 1 species
GGGUUUUUAGUUUAAUUUUUAAAAUAUUAGUUUGUAAAACUAAGGUUUUUAACCUU